GGUCAAGUGACUAAGUGCAUGUGGUGGAUGCCUAGGCGAUUACAGGCGACGAAGGACGUGAUAGCCUGCGAUAAGCUUCGGGGAGCUGGCAAAUUAGCUUUGAUCCGGAGAUUUCCGAAUGGGGAAACCCACCCCGCGAGGGGUAACGCAUACUGAAUACAUAGGUAUGCGUGGCGAACCGGGUGAACUGAAACAUCUCAGUAGCUCGAGGAAAAGACAUCAACCGAGAUUCCGAAAGUAGUGGCGAGCGAAAUCGGAGUAGCCCUUGCGUUUUAGCAGUUGGCAUAUCAGAACGGAAUGGAAAGUCCGGCCAUAGCGGGUGAUAGCCCCGUAUGAAAAAUGUUGAUUGUGGAACUAAGCGCAAAUAGAGUAGGGCGGGACACGUGAAAUCCUGUCUGAAUAUGGGGGGACCAUCCUCCAAGGCUAAAUACUCGUAAUCGACCGAUAGUGAACUAGUACCGUGAGGGAAAGGCGAAAAGAACCCCGGGAGGGGAGUGAAAUAGAUCCUGAAACCGCAUGCAUACAAAAAGUAGGAGCCCGCAAGGGUGACUGCGUACCUUUUGUAUAAUGGGUCAGCGACUUACAUUCAGUGGCGAGGUUAACCGAAUAGGGAAGCCGUAGAGAAAUCGAGUCCGAAUAGGGCGAAUUAGUCGCUGGGUGUAGACCCGAAACCAAGUGAUCUAUCCAUGGCCAGGAUGAAGGUACCGUAACAGGUGCUGGAGGUCCGAACCGACUAAUGUUGCAAAAUUAGCGGAUGAGCUGUGGAUAGGGGUGAAAGGCUAAACAAACUUGGAAAUAGCUGGUUCUCUCCGAAAACUAUUUAGGUAGUGCCUCAAGUAUUACCAUCGGGGGUAGAGCACUGUUAUGGCUAGGGGGUCAUGGCGACUUACCAAACCAUUGCAAACUCCGAAUACCGAUGAGUACAGCUUGGGAGACAGAGCACCGGGUGCUAACGUCCGGACUCAAGAGGGAAACAACCCAGACCGCCAGCUAAGGUCCCCAAAAUUGGCUAAGUGGGAAACGAAGUGGGAAGGCUAAAACAGUCAGGAUGUUGGCUUAGAAGCAGCCAUCAUUUAAAGAAAGCGUAAUAGCUCACUGAUCGAGUCGUCCUGCGCGGAAGAUGUAACGGGGCUAAGCCAGUUACCGAAGCUGCGGAUGUGCAAUUUAUUGCACGUGGUAGGAGAGCGUUCUGUAAGCCUGUGAAGGUGGGUUGUGAAGCCUGCUGGAGGUAUCAGAAGUGCGAAUGCUGACAUGAGUAGCGUUAAAGGGGGUGAAAAGCCCCCUCGCCGAAAGCGCAAGGUUUCCUACGCAACGUUCAUCGGCGUAGGGUGAGUCGGCCCCUAAGGCGAGGCAGAGAUGCGUAGCUGAUGGGAAACAGGUAAAUAUUCCUGUACCGAUCUGUAAUGCGAUGUGGGGACGGAGAAGGUUAGCUCAGCCGGGUGUUGGAUGUCCCGGUUCAAGCGUGUAGUCGUGCUCUUUAGGCAAAU
rnacentral:rRNA from 1 species